UACGUAGGGUGCAGGCGUUUAAUCGGAAUUACUGGGCGUAAAGCGUGCGCAGGCGGUUUCUUAAGUCAGAUGUGAAAGCCCCGGGCUCAACCUGGGAACGGCGCGCGAAACGGGGGGGGCUUGAGUUCGGGAGAGGAGAGUGGAAUUCCCAGUGUAGAGGUGAAAUUCGUAGAUAUUGGGGAAGAACACCGGUGGCGAAGGCGGCUCUCUGGGACCGAGACUGACGCUGAGGCGCGAAAGCGUGGGGGAGCAAACAGG
rnacentral:rRNA from 1 species